rnacentral:lncRNA from 1 species
UUACAUGUCUUGUGAUUUAUAGUUUUAGACAUAUAUUAUCAAGACUAUCUUAAUAAUGGUUUCGGAAAACCCAUAUUAUGUCCAAACAUUGAAUCACCAUUUAGUUGUAGCUAGCAAUCUUCGAAUUAAUUGAAACUAAGACUAUCUCAAAGAUGGUUUCUUCAAAGUCAACCAUUUAAUUUGAUUGUAGUCACCUUAAGCUACCAAUUAGCUAUGAAAGUUUCAUUAUUUCGAGUCAAAUGGUACUUUACCAUUUCCUUGAGUAUAUAUCGUAUAUGCACUCAUUGUAGUCAUAAGGAUUUUCAUUCUUAUUUCUUUCGAAUUAAGAGGUGCAACUCUAUGACAUAGUCAUAAAGUUCAAAACCAUUCAACUGAGACGGUUUAUAAAUCCUUAUCGACUACCUUGGAGCUUGAGGUAUAGGAACUAGGUUGUUAUAUUUGUUGAUUACUUUCUUGUCUCUCAAAGAACCCAUUCUUUGAGUUCUAUCUCUCGUUCAUUUGCUUUUAGGCAAAUCACAUUGUAGAAUUACAAUGAACUACCCAACAAAACAACAUUUGUUAGUUGGUUUAUAGAAGUGAUAUCCAAAAGUUAUUUUAAGGAUAUUCUACAAGAUUGUUAUCAAACAAAUAUUGCUUGUUAGCAAACAACCCCAAAUCUUUAACAUGCUUAAGAUUUGUCUUUCUUUCCAACUACAUCUUAUGGAUUCAUGAAAAUAUUAGAAGAUCUUCUCAUUGACAAUCAUAUUGUUUUAGAAGUAUAUAUCCUAUAUAUGGGUAAUAGAUAACAUUUAACGAACUAAAUCUUAUUCUUGUUCGUUCUUCUCCUUAUGGAGAAAUACAUUAUCUUAUGAUGCUUAUUUCCUUGAUAUCUUUCAAGGAAACUUAUCUAAAGUGUUACCUUUCCUUGGAUCAAACCUAAGGAGGUAAAUACUUUAGAUGUCUUACUCAUCAACUUACAUUACUUGAAUUCUUUGAAACAUUUUGCAAAGUAUUCGGACUUGUGUUUAUUCAAAAUAAACUAUAGUUCAACCGAGAGUGAUCUUCGGUGAAUGUUAUCCAACAUGAGUAGUAUUAUGUUUGUGGACAAGUGCCACUAACAUUUAAGUGAAUUAACCUCAACAACUUUGUGAUUCUUUCUUCUUUCCAAAAGAAUAAAGAUUCGAACAUUUCGCCUCUAUACAAUUUUAACAAGAAGGUAUUGGAUCCGGAUCUUACGAUCCAAAGCAUCCAUCUUUCACCAACUCAUAACUUAUGUUUUUAGAGGAAUCACAACUUAGUUGGGAUUAGUCACUACCUUGCAACCUUUUGGGUUUUAAGCAUCAUUAUUUUCUAAACAGUUAACACUACCAUAUUAUCUCUACUAUAGAGAUAAUUAAUUAGAUUACCAUAAUCCAAUCAUUGAUUAAUAAAGAACAUUGUUUUGUCAAACAAAACAUUUAUCCAUUUCACAUAAUGACGGAAUUUAGUUCCUUAAAAUUGGAAUACAAAGACAAUCUAUGUUUUUCCAAUUUCUUUGGUAGU